rnacentral:rRNA from 2 species
GGGGGGCGGCUWUCCGGAUUUAUUGGGCGUAAGCGAGCGCAGGCGGUUUUUUAAGUCUGAUGUGAAAGCCCUCGGCUUAACCGAGGAAGCGCAUCGGAAACUGGGAAACUUGAGUGCAGAAGAGGACAGUGGAACUCCAUGUGUAGCGGUGAAAUGCGUAGAUAUAUGGAAGAACACCAGUGGCGAAGGCGGCUGUCUGGUCUGUAACUGACGCUGAGGCUCGAAAGCAUGGGUAGCGAACAGGAUUAGAUACCCUGGUAGUCCAUGCCGUAAACGAUGAAUGCUAGGUGUUGGAGGGUUUCCGCCCUUCAGUGCCGCAGCUAACGCAUUAAGCAUUCCGCCUGGGGAGUACGACCGCAAGGUUGAAACUCAAAGGAAUUGACGGGGGCCCGCACAAGCGGUGGAGCAUGUGGUUUAAUUCGAAGCAACGCGAAGAACCUUACCAGGUCUUGACAUCUUUUGAUCACCUGAGAGAUCAGGUUUCCCCUUCGGGGGCAAAAUGACAGGUGGUGCAUGGUUGUCGUCAGCUCGUGUCGUGAGAUGUUGGGUUAAGUCCCGCAACGAGCGCAACCCUUAUGACUAGUUGCCAGCAUUUAGUUGGGCACUCUAGUAAGACUGCCGGUGACAAACCGGAGGAAGGUGGGGAUGACGUCAAAUCAUCAUGCCCCUUAUGACCUGGGCUACACACGUGCUACAAUGGAUGGUACAACGAGUUGCGAGACCGCGAGGUCAAGCUAAUCUCUUAAAGCCAUUCUCAGUUCGGACUGUAGGCUGCAACUCGCCUACACGAAGUCGGAAUCGCUAGUAAUCGCGGAUCAGCACGCCGCGGUGAAUACGUUCCCGGGCCUUGUACAACCCSSC